GCGUCUGUAGUCUAGCGGUUAUGAUACCUGCCUUCCAAGCAGGUGAUCCGGGUUCGACUCCCGGCGGAUGCA